CCUGAUCCUGACAGCCACAAUAUUGUUGGUUUUAUUUAUUGAAUUAUUCAUUUAAAAGGGGGGAGGGGCUAGUUGGAGGAUAUAAUUUUCUUUUUUUAUAUAUAUUUGACUAAAUCAAGAAAAAUCAUACUUCCUCUAAGAAAGAAGGCCUGUUAGAGAAGAACUUUUAAUAGGGCCCUGAAAAUUAAGUCAUAGCAGAGCUGUUAUCCACAGCAAAUACAACUUUACUUUCAGUAACUUGACCUGGGUCACUAUAAAGAUUGCUCGUAUUAGGCGUUCAAAGUAGCAAGGCCCUGAGGCCUUCAGUAGUAAGUGUUCCUCUGAGUGUGCUAUUUAGACGUAGUCAAAGACUGUGCUGUGUGAACUUGCCAUUUUACUACAACCUUGAACUCCUUAACACUGUAACUAAUCUAUUCAAGGCUUUGCAUGAGUAGUUAGACCUCAUUCAAAGGUCUCAUUCCCAGCUGUGCAGAGUCCUUGCACCUCUGACUUCUGCGGCAACAUGUAUGCACGAUGAAAGGUGUGAAGCACCUUGUGCCUUCUAAGUUUGAAAUGUGAGCCAACUGAGCUUUCAGAUGAAGUCGCUAUAGUUAGAGUGCUUGUAGUUUACUGAAGGUCACUUGAGGAGGUGUUGAGUAUUCGUCCCUGCCUCCAUAUGUCCUUCUCUUGUCUUGCCUGUCUCCUUGCCUUCAUUUAUGAAAAGAAGGAGUUAGUGGUUGGUGCCCACACUCAGACACUCAGAUAUAGAGAUCUUCCAUUGAUUAAAAAAGAUCCUGCUGGAGACGAAAAUGGCUUAAAACAAAAACUGGCGAAAAGGUCCUCCUUAGAAUUGGUCACAAGAUGGAUUGGACUGAAACAAAGGCUUAAAAAGAGGAUCCUGUUUGGGAAGCCCUUUCUGCAGAUCCUGAUACCUUCCAGCACGCCGUUACAGCGCAGCUGGUGCAUCACCAGAGGGUUCUCCAUGGCCCCAGGAGUCUUGGUCUCAUUGGGGAUGAUGCAGCGCACAAAGUGAGGGUGGGUGGACCGCAGGUUGGUCAUCAGCUUGUUUAAAUUUUCCUUUUGAACAAUAGUUCAAAUGGUCAUGUCUAGAUUUUUAAAAAUAGCUUUGGCUGAAAUGAUCAACAGGACAAUACACAUACCCUAUGGAGAGCAGAGACUGUCUGAAAUGAGGAUCCUUUCUUCUUUUUUUCCUUUUUACCCUCACCUCCUUCAGACAUGGCUUUUGAAGCAAUGUUACUUGUUAAAACCACACCAAAAACUAUGCACAUUCAAUAAAUUAAGUAGGUUUUUGAAAAGCUACCUGAAUCAGCUCCAGCAUAAUUGGCAAACAGUGUUCCAAGGAGUUUUAAAGUGGAUUUUUGAUACAAUCCAACCACCGUCUCAUUCAGAGGAUCCUUGUUCUUCACCAGCCAGUUGUUGAUGUUAUAAUCAACAGUUCCUGCAUAAUGAACCAGGGCAAAAUGGGCCUCUGGUUUUCCUUUGACAUUCCUAGGUUUCUGGAAGUUGUUGGAUUUUCCAAGGUGGUUGUCAUAAAGCUUAGCUUUGAAGGUGGCAUCACUGGCUUUGGGAAACAUGCACUCCUCUUCAAGGAUGGACAUGAUACCCAUGGGCUGAAGGAACAGAAACGUGUAGUUCAGUUAUCAAAUUGUCUACUGCCUUUUAAGGAGUAUUUUCAGUGAAAUGUCUCACCUUCUCAAUCAGAUCUAUGCAAGCCUGCAGAUCCAUACCAAAAUCAAUGAAGGUCCAUUCAAUUCCUUCUUUCUUGUACUCUUCUUGCUCCAGUACAAACAUGUGAUGGUUGAAAAACUGUUGCAGUUUUUCAUUAGUGAAGUUGAUGCACAGCUGCUCAAAGGUGUUGAACUGAGGAAAAACAAACGUAUAAUUAAUAAACAGUCAACUCGUCAAUUCGUCGCAAAGAAAGGUGGUUAUGAUAAAAUGACUGACAUCAAAAAUCUCAAAUCCAGCAAUGUCCAGCACUCCUAUGAAGUACUGUCUGGGCUGCUUGGUUUCAAGUGACUGGUUGAUUCUCAUGACCAUCCACAGGAACAUUUUCUCAUAAACGGCUUUAGACAGAGCUCCAAUGGCGUAGUUCACCUGUGGAGAACACACCAGCCAUCCAAAGGGAAAUAACACGUGUUAGUGAUUUAAGGGCCUCCAAUAAAAACAGAACAAAUAAGUAUGUGGUCUAAUUUAAAAAUAGUCUAUGUUGAUGAAAACUUUCCACCUGAUUGACAUUCUGUCCUUUGGUGACCCACUCGUUUCCUACUUUGACUCUUGGAUGACAGAGACCUUUGAUCAGGUCAGCAGAGUUCAGGCCCAUCAGAUAAGCUGCUUUGUCAGCAUCUGAAGACAGGAAAAGUCUUUGAAAUGUUGUGGGUUAAUUUGAAAUUGAAAGUCUGGAACUUUAUUUCACCUUCAGUGCCAUCAGCUUCUGCUUGCUCCUCACGAGGCCUCUGCUUAAAUUUCAUGUUUCCAUAAUGCAUGAUGGCACCAGUGAGCUUGUACACAGAGUUUUUUUCCUCUUGGGUAAAGCCCAACACAUCAAAGGCACUCUGUUAAAAACACACCUUAUGUUAAAACAGAACAUCUCUGCAUUUGGGAAAGGCUUCUUAAUCCAUAUUGACAACUGAACACUGAUGUAAUUCUGAUUGGUUUUCUAACAAAUGAAGAAAGUUAAAUGCUGACAUCUGUUGCCAUCAGUUCUUCUGCAUCAUCUAUGGAAGCCACUUGGGUUUCUCCCUGAGAGAUGAAGCAAUAGUCGUAUGGAUUGUUAGUUAUCAGCAGCAUCUCUGUAGAACACAGAAAGAGAAAUUAAAUUGGAAUUCCAGCAGAUGAACAUACAAUAAAAAAGACUAUUAGAAACUUUUCCAUUUACUAACCCAGAAUUUCUGGCUUCUUUUGGGACAAAAUCUGGUAGAAAAUGUGGUAGUCUCUCUCAGCCUUGAGCUGGAAGAUUACACGGGACUUUUCCAGAAGGUCUAAAAUAAAUUGUUCAAUUAUUUUCCUCAAAAUACAAAAAUGUACUACCUUAUUAUGAAUAAAAUGGCAUCAGAAAUUCAACAUAGAUAUUUUACAAUAUUUUGUCAUCGUUUAGGGUAAUUCUGACACUCAAAUUUUCUAAAACAAAAUGUUCCUUUUUAUUUGGUCAAUUUACAUGCUAUCUUUGUUAAUAUUCUUAUAAUUGAUUUUUUUUUUCUCUUGAGAUUUGUAAUAGCUUUUGAGCCACAAUGUUCAUUCAAUAACAGUUUGUUUCUCAAGUUUGUAAUAAUUUCCCCCUAGUAAUAAAACAGCUACAUAAACACCCUUUAAGAGUUAAACGUGGAUCAUAGACAUGUAAAAGUGCAAAACUGUUUUUUGUUCUCACAUGUUUCAAUGUCAGCCGAGGCAACUUUUCCUCUGGCAUCAAAAUGGAUUCUGAUGAAUUUUCCCUGAAAGAAUAUUGAAGUUUAGCUUAAUUUUUGAGGGGAAUCUUUGCAAGAAACUUUUCGAAAAGGUAAGUGAACAUACAAAUCUGGAAGAGUUGUCAUUCCUGAUGGUCUUGGCAUUCCCAAAGGCCUCCAGAGCGGGAUUAGCCUGGAUGAUUUGAUCUUCCAGUGUUCCCUGUCACACGUGGAAGAAGAGAUAUUAGGGAGUGUCUUAAAAGUCUUUUCCACUGACAGUGUUUUUGUCAUAACAACUAUAAGAUUAAAAAACAGUGAGACAUUUAAAUUUAUAUUUCUUACUUUGUCUUUUGAUGUGUCUUUCUUGUUGCUUCCAGCUGCAAUACUUGCAAAAUACUGGAUGACUCUCUUUGUGUUGACCGUCUUUCCUGCACCAGAUUCUCCACUGUAAUUAUAAAGUUUCAGAUCAAUAAAACUCAUUGAUCAAAGAAGUGCAUUUCUACAUGUUUUAUGAUGGGAGCUGUUGCACUUACGUGAUCAGAAUUGACUGGUUUUCCCGAUCUACCAAAAGAAAACCAUUUUGAUAUCAAAUAAUACCCUAACUUGUGAAAGAUAUGUUUUUUUAUCUUAUCACUCUUACCUGCAAGCAUGUACUGGUAUCCAUUAUCAGAGAUGGAGAAGAUGUGAGGAGGAGCUUCACUCCUCUUCUUUCCUCGAUAAGCAAGGACCACCUCCUGGUUAUAGACUGGCAGCCACUUGUAGGGGUUGACAGUCACACAGAACAGCCCAGAAUAGGUCUGAAAUCACACAGACAGCAUUGAUAUUGUACCAGGUUCUGGUCACUUAGGCCCCGUUUACACUGGAACGGGAACGCGUUUUGCUCUCUGAUCCGGUAAGCAAGAUAUCGGGUACACACCAGAACGUUCCUGAAUGAUAUUGCGUUCACGGUUAAAACGAAUGCUGACGGAAAACGAUGUAAUUCACACGCCACGCCGCUAUGCGCUAUGUGCGCACAAUGUUGAACCGUUCCUGCUCUAUUUCCCCCUCAACCGUAGUCGAGGAGCAGGGGAGAUCUUCUCCAGGGCCAAAGGUUGCUUUUCCUCCGGGGUUCACUUCCCUUCUUUGGAUCAUGCGAAGCCGAAUAAUUACACUUAGCUAUUGUAUAGGAACUGAACUUUUAUUACUUUAACUUGCAGACAAACUCGAGAACAACUCUCCGCACGCUAACGUGCGCGCGCGCCCCUCCCC
ensembl:lncRNA